GAACCUACGGGACGCAGCAGUGGGGAAUAUUGGGCAAUGGGCGCAAGCCUGACCCAGCAACGCCGCGUGAAGGAAGAAGGCUUUCGGGUUGUAAACUUCUUUUCUCAGGGACGAAGAAAGUGACGGUACCUGAGGAAUAAGCCACGGCUAACUACGUGCCAGCAGCCGCGGUAAUACGUAGGUGGCAAGCGUUAUCCGGAUUUACUGGGUAUAAAGGGCGUGUAGGCGGGAGUGCAAGUCAGAUGUGAAAACCACGGGCUCAACCUGUGGCCUGCAUUUGAAACUG
rnacentral:rRNA from 1 species